rnacentral:misc_RNA from 1 species
UACGGAGGGGGCUAGCGUUGUUCGGAAUCACUGGGCGUAAAGCGCACGUAGGCGGUGUAUCAAGUCAGAGGUGAAAGGCCUGGGCUCAACCUAGGAACUGCCUUUGAGACUGGUACGCUUGAGUCCGGGAGAGGGUAGUGGAAUUCCCAGUGUAGAGGUGAAAUUCGUAGAUAUUGGGAAGAACACCGGUGGCGAAGGCGGCUACCUGGCCCGGUACUGACGCUGAGGUGCGAAAGCGUGGGGAGCGAACAGG